ACUGCUCAGUAACACGUGGAUAACCUGCCCUGCGGUGGGAAAUAACCCCGGGAAACUGGGGAUAAUGUCCCAUAGGCUACGGAUGCUGGAAUGCUCUGUAGCUCAAAGAUUUAUCGCCACAGGAUGGGUCUGCGGCCGAUUAGGUAGUUGUUGGGGUAACGGCCCAACAAGCCUUUGAUCGGUACGGGUUGUGGGAGCAAGAGCCCGGAGAUGGAUUCUGAGACACGAAUCCAGGCCCUACGGGGCGCAGCAGGCGCGAAAACUUUACAAUGCGGGAAACCGUGAUAAGGGAACUCCGAGUGUCCGUAAAUGCGGACUGUCCGUAUGUUUAAAAAGCAUGCGAAGAAAGGGCCGGGCAAGACCGGUGCCAGCCGCCGCGGUAAUACCGGCGGCUCGAGUGGUGGCCACUAUUACUGGGCUUAAAGCGUUCGUAGCUGGGUCGUUAAGUCUCUUGGGAAAUCUACCGGCUUAACCGAUAGGCGUCCAAGGGAUACUGGCGAUCUAGGGACCGGGAGAGGUGAGGGGUACUUCAGGGGUAGGAGUGAAAUCCUGUAAUCCUUGGGGGACCACCUGUGGCGUAGGCGCCUCACCAGAACGGCUCCGACAGUGAGGGACGAAAGCUGGGGGAGCAAACCGGAUUAGAUACCCGGGUAGUCCCAGCCGUAAACGAUGCGCGUUAGGUGUAUCGAUGACCACGAGUCAUCGAGGUGCCGAAGGGAAACCGUGAAACGCGCCGCCUGGGAAGUACGGUCGCAAGGCUGAAACUUAAAGGAAUUGGCGGGGGAG
rnacentral:rRNA from 1 species